AGUGACUGUCGUGAGCUGGUUUGAGACGAGCGAGGCGGUCAUGUGAUACCAGGGCAUAAAACAAUUCCUCGAGCCUCUCCCUCCUCUCUCAGUGUCGUGAGCGAGUGUGAGUGUGUGAAAGUGAGUGAGUGUGUGUGCAAAAAUGCCAGUGAGGAGGGGCCAUGUCGCCCCGAGGACAACUAUCAUCGAAACUAUCAUCAGGAAAUUUGAUACGCACAAUCGCAGUUUCGUUGUAGCCAACGCGCAGCAGGAUUCGUGUCACAUCAUCUACUGUUCUGACGGUUUCUGCAGAUUGUCCGGCUACAGCCGGGCCGAGGUCAUGCAGCGACCGGCAGUCUGCGACUUCCUCCAUGGUCCCCUCACAUCUCAACAGGCCGUUUCCGUCGUUAAGGAAGCCCUCGCUGCGGGGACGGAGAAGCACUUCGAAAUACUUUAUUACAGGAAGGACGGAACCAAGUUUUUAUGCAGUGAAGUCAUAGCUCCCGUCAAAAGCGAAGUGGACGACAUAUGCCUUUACAUUAUCAACUUCGAGGACCUGACCUCACCCUCGAGCCCUCUAGAUGAUACUACGCAUAACCACAGACUCAGUAAAUUUGACCGAGCGAGACAGUCGUUCAGACAGUCGCUGCGGAUGGGACCACUGAGGCGGCCAAGGACCGGAGGAGGGUACCUUAGUCCACCUCCGACAACUACCGAAGAAUCUGAGUCUAAUAUUACUCCAAGCCCCUCACAACAAGGAAGACUGAGUGCCGAGCAAACAACGACAAUUGAAACUGAUAGACUGAGCCAGGGAGGCAACCGAAUCAGUGCCUCAUUCCCAAGCGCCCCUAUUGCCUCACCCGAACAGGUUUCACAACAACUCUGGGAUACAGGAGAAGUGCCUCAUGCCAGUUCUCUGGAUGGGAUCUCUGGACGAAGGGCGGUCUCGAGAUCCCCAGAGCCCCCAAGGCCCCCCGCAAGAAGCGCGACUUGCUCCGUCCUGCCGAGUUCGAAAACGCAAGAAGACAUUCCAACCAGACCCAGACCGCAUACACUCGAUAACUUUUCCGAAGCAACGAGAAAUCAUGUAGCCAAGUGUUUUCCAAUAACUAGCUCCGAGUCGGAUCUUCAAAGAUACAGGACAUCCGCUCUUUGGGACCCAACGGCAUCGCUAAGCAACCUAGCGUCGGAAAGCAUAAAACACAAGUAUUCGAUACAAGACAAUGGCUCGGCGAAGUUUUUCCAAGGGGCGCUCCACACGCCGAACAUGGGAGAAAAAGUUGCCCAGGUUCUUUCACUUGGUGCUGAUGUCCUCCCAGAAUACAAACUCCAGUCACCAAGGAUACACAAGUGGACUGUACUUCACUAUAGUCCAUUCAAAGCUGUCUGGGACUGGAUUAUUCUUUUACUUGUCAUGUACACAGCAAUAUUUACACCUUACACGGCAGCCUUCCUUCUUAACGAGCCUGACUAUACAACUUCAAGAAAAACAAAAAAGUAUGGAGAUGACCCCCUCGUUAUAGUAGAUCUCAUCGUGGACGUGACUUUUAUAGUAGAUAUUCUUAUAAACUUUAGGACAACUUAUGUAAAUAAAAAUGAUGAAGUUGUCUCACAUCCAGGAAAAAUAGCAGUUCACUAUUUAAGAGGAUGGUUCCUUAUUGAUUUAGUAGCUGCUAUUCCAUUUGACCUUCUAUUGUAUGGAUCGGACACAGAUGAGUUGGGCUUGGAUGCCGAUGAGACAACUACUUUAAUGGGCCUAUUGAAAACAGCAAGACUGUUAAGAUUAGUAAGAGUGGCUAGAAAAAUAGAUAGGUAUUCAGAAUAUGGAGCCGCUGUACUUUUGUUACUUAUGGCUACAUUCGCACUUAUUGCUCACUGGCUUGCCUGCAUUUGGUAUUUUAUUGGAAAUGCUGAAAGACCACAUUUAGAAAGUAAAGUUGGUUGGUUAGAUGCAUUGGCUAAUGAUACGCAUCAGUUUUAUCAUAACAAUACGGGAGGGCCUUCUAUAAAAUCGAGAUACAUCACAGCUCUCUAUUUUACAUUCAGCUCUCUAACGUCGGUUGGGUUUGGUAAUGUAGCGCCGAACACAGAUGCUGAAAAAAUAUUCACAAUUUGUGUUAUGCUGGUUGGAUCUUUGAUGUAUGCCAGUAUCUUCGGUAAUGUAUCAGCGAUUAUUCAAAGACUGUAUUCUGGCACAGCUCGAUAUCAUACACAGAUGUUGAGGGUGAGGGAAUUCAUUCGAUUUCAUCAAAUACCUAAUCCACUGAGACAGCGAUUAGAGGAGUACUUUCAGCAUGCAUGGACUUACACUAAUGGAAUAGAUAUGAACAGUGUGCUGAAAGGAUUUCCAGAGUGCCUUCAAGCUGACAUUUGUUUACACUUAAACAGAAACUUAUUGGAAUCGUGUACGGCAUUUGACGGCGCUUCUCCAGGUUGCUUGAGGGCUUUAUCGCUUAAAUUCAAAACAACUCAUGCUCCACCAGGAGAUACAUUAGUACACAAAGGAGAUGUGUUAACAUCUUUGUAUUUUAUUUCAAGAGGAUCAAUUGAGAUCCUGCGAGACGAAAUAGUAAUGGCUAUUUUAAGUAAAGAUGAUAUUUUUGGAGAGAAUCCAUGUGGACAUACUACUAUAGGCAAAUCAAAGUGUAACGUUAGAGCUCUCACAUAUUGUGAUCUCCACAAAAUCCAUCGGGAUGAUUUGUUGGAUGUUUUAGAACUCUAUCCAGAGUUUUACCAUACUUUCACAUCAAAUUUGGAGAUCACAUUUUAUUUGAGAGAUGAAGAGCAAGCUGGUGUGGAUCCUUGGGCUAGCCGGCAAACAAGAAAAGUAACAUCAAGGACAAAUUCUCAAGAUCUUGGUACGGGAGAAGUUGGCGGUGGUGGUAAUUUUGACAUGGAUUUUAGAAGAAAUUACUACAGGCCUUCUUUAAGAACCAGUGUCGAGAGAGGUCCUUCUAUGGAAGAAAAUGGAGAUUUACAUGAGAAGUGCCUUGGUCAUGGUAUUCUAGAGUUCUCGACAGAAAAGGCAGGACAAGAUGUCACGCCUUUGAAUUUACAAUUUAAUGAAAAUGGUCAUCGCUCAAAUACCAUCAGCUCAAUUACUGGCAUGUUCAGCCAACUGAAGCGCAGCCUCACAGAUCUGCGCUUGCAUGGCCUCAACAGUAAACAACCACCGAAAGAAGACUCUUCUAACGGGCGAUCAGCAGAUACAAGAAUGAAACAUUCGGCAAGCUCACAAAAUGUGAGACGUCAAGAUAUCAGGGUUGCUUCGGCUACUACUUCAGACUCUUCAAGAGAAACACAACCUCUUCUUGACCACCAAGCUCCAAUUUCAGAAGGAUUACCUACAGGGACUGAAACUCUGGAUGAGUGCCAUCUGAGCAGUACCUCACAUUAUACAACACCUGGUUCAGCCAGUCCCUUACAUUCCAAUGCCCUCCUCAAAGCCCAUCAACAAGGGCCUACUUCUGUGAUAACAUACCCCUCAACCCACAUUGAACAUAAAUGUUCGCACUGUGGGAUUUCAAAGGCUCGUGUGGAUAGUGAUAUUCAUUUUAGGAUAGAUAAGAUAAGCAGACAAUUAGAUGCACUAGAAAAUUCAGUUUCAAGUGAUGUUAGGCUCAUUCUCUCCAUUCUGAGACAUCAGGGAAGUGGAAAAAGUGGAGAACCACUGAUAGAACAAAAAGAGCAGCAGCCUUGGACCGAGUCCAAACCGCGACCUUCACCUGUAAGACGAAGUUCAAGUGUUCCCCAGAAUGAUUCAGUACCACAAGCUCAAACAAGAAACCAAGACAUUGCUCGACUACCCUAUCCGACACUACAACCUGGUAUCAUUGUACCUCGAAGAAGUCAGUCUCAGCCUGUGGACUUAUCUCAUUGAUGGUAGCAACGAUACUUGGAGAGGAUUAAGUGAUCUUGGAAGAAGGAGGCAGUUAUUACCAACUCGUUGUGUCACAAGCAGUGAAGAAGUUGAUCCUCCACCUCUACAAGCACCCAUUGCAAGACUUGAUUCCCUCCAAGAAAUGGAGUCUGCAUUAGUAUCUUCUCACUCCAGUUUGUCUGACAACCAACCUGAUUCAAAGUCAUCACAAGUAUA
rnacentral:misc_RNA from 1 species